rnacentral:tmRNA from 1 species
UGGGGGCUUCUGUUGACGGGCGCCCCCCGACCCCUUGUGCUGACCGCUAAUAGCUUAAACGCUACUACGAUAGCACGCGCUUAAUCGUUAGCUCUAUUUGGAGCUAACGCGUUAGCGUGUGUAAACUCAGUGUAUUGGCUUACGAUUUUUCCUGUUUAACGCACAAGCUUCGAACAAGCGUGGGAAUCUUUACACCGCUGUCUACUUUCUCUAUCACGCCCCCCGCUUUCAGAAUAACUCUUAUCGUAUUAUGGAGGCGCCGGGAAUUAAACCCGGAUCCAGCAGAUUAUUGUAUUGCCACUUGUUUAUUGUUAUAGCUAAGUUAGC